GGCGCACGGGUGAGUAACGCGUAUCCAACCUUCCCAUAACAAAGGGAUACUCCGUAGAAAUGCGGUCUAAUACCUUAUGUUCUCUUUAUUAGGCAUCUUAUAAAGAGCAAAGAAUUUCGGUUAUGGAUGGGGAUGCGUCUGAUUAGCUUGUUGGCGGGGUAACGGCCCACCAAGGCAUCGAUCAGUAGGGGUUCUGAGAGGAAGGUCCCCCACAUUGGAACUGAGACACGGUCCAAACUCC
rnacentral:rRNA from 1 species